rnacentral:lncRNA from 1 species
UAAUUAAAUUGUUUUCAUUUUCUUAUAAAACAAAUGUUGGGAAACCUAAACAUAUGUUCUUCUUCUUUCCCAUUUGAAGUGCAACUCAGAAAAUUGAUUUCUUCUUCUCUAAUUUUAGAAAACUCUAAAAAAAAAUUCUCAUCAUCACGACCGCUCGCUCAUCACCAUAUCCUAGUAUUCCACAUCAAGCAAUUGUUAUGUUUCUCGUUCUAAUCAGGACAAAUGCAAGCGUGGUCUUCCUUUUCCAUUGAUGACUACUUUGACAUAUUUGAACACAGGUCGUUGUUUUUUUGUUGUGGGGUGUAUGAGGUAUUACUUCGAUUUGUUAUAUUCAUGAACUAUUGUAUUUUGUGAUUUUUAGAAAAUCCUUCGGUGUUCUUCUCUAAUUCUAGAUUCAGGGAUAUAAGAGGUGUAGUCACUUCGUCUGGUAUGAUGAAGGAAUGUAUGAAAGAGUCAAGGAAUUGAAUGUCAAAUUGAACCAAGAAAAUGUCAAAUUGAAUGUCAAAUUAAACCAAGAAAAUGUCAAAUUGAAUGAUGUCAUAAUUAAAGAGGAUGAAUUGAAGUUGAAAAUCAAAUACUUUUAGAUAACGAACAAGUUUACAAUGGGAAUGAUAUUUGUGUUGUUAAUUGGAUUAGUUGUAUCAAAUAUAAUAAAUUAGUUGAUUAGGUAAAGUAGAUUAGGUUGAUUCAGUUAAGUUGUCAUCAAAGUGUG